UACGAAGGGGGCUAGCGUUGCUCGGAAUCACUGGGCGUAAAGGGCGCGUAGGCGGCCGAUUAAGUCGGGGGUGAAAGCCUGUGGCUCAACCACAGAAUUGCCUUCGAUACUGGUUGGCUUGAGACCGGAAGAGGACAGCGGAACUGCGAGUGUAGAGGUGAAAUUCGUAGAUAUUCGCAAGAACACCAGUGGCGAAGGCGGCUGUCUGGUCCGGUUCUGACGCUGAGGAGCGAAAGCGUGGGGAGCGAACAGG
rnacentral:rRNA from 1 species